CGGACGGGUGAGUAACGCGUGGAUAACCUGCCUCACACUGGGGGAUAACAGUUAGAAAUGGCUGCUAAUACCGCAUAAGCGCACAGUACCGCAUGGUACGGUGUGAAAAACCCAGGUGGUGUGAGAUGGAUCCGCGUCUGAUUAGCCAGUUGGCGGGGUAACGGCCCACCAAAGCGACGAUCAGUAGCCGACCUGAGAGGGUGACCGGCCACAUUGGGACUGGGACACGGCCCAA
rnacentral:rRNA from 1 species